GACACGACCGUACCGCAAACCGACACUGGUGCGCGAGAUGAGUAUUCUAAGGCGCUUGAGAGAACUCAGGAGAAGGAACUCGGCAAAUUGACACCGUAACUUCGGAAGAAGGUGUGCCUUUAGUAGGUGAAGUCCCUCGCGGAUGGAGCCCAAUGAGGUUGCAAAAAAUCGGUGGCUGCGACUGUUUAUUAAAAACACAGCACUCUGCAAACACGAAAGUGGACGUAUAGGGUGUGACGCCUGCCCGGUGCUGGAAGAUUAAAUGAUGGGGUGCAAGCUCUUGAUUGAAGUCCCAGUAAACGGCGGCCGUAACAAUAACGGUCCUAAGGUAGCGAAAUUCCUUGUCGGGUAAGUUCCGACCUGCACGAAUGGCGUAACGAUGGCCACACUGUCUCCUCCUGAGACUCAGCGAAGUUGAAAUGUUUGUGAUGAUGCAAUCUCCCCGCGGAAAGACGGAAAGACCCCAUGAACCUUUACUGUAGCUUUGUAUUGGACUUUGAACAGAUCUGUGUAGGAUAGGUGGGAGGCUUUGAAGCAGGGUCGCUAGAUCUUGUGGAGCCAACGUUGAAAUACCACCCUGGUGUGUUUGAGGUUCUAACCUAGGCCCGUAAUCCGGGUUGGGGACAGUGCAUGGUAGGCAGUUUGACUGGGGCGGUCUCCUCCCAAAGUGUAACGGAGGAGUUCGAAGGUACGCUAGUUACGGUCGGACAUCGUGACGAUAGUGCAAUGGCAUAAGCGUGCUUAACUGCGAGACUGACAAGUCGAGCAGAUGCGAAAGCAGGACAUAGUGAUCCGGUGGUUCUGUAUGGAAGGGCCAUCGCUCAACGGAUAAAAGGUACUCUGGGGAUAACAGGCUGAUACCGCCCAAGAGUUCAUAUCGACGGCGGUGUUUGGCACCUCGAUGUCGGCUCAUCUCAUCCUGGGGCUGUAGCCGGUCCCAAGGGUAUGGCUGUUCGCCAUUUAAAGAGGUACGUGAGCUGGGUUUAAAACGUCGUGAGACAGUUUGGUCCCUAUCUUCCGUGGGCGCUGCAGAUUUGAGGAAGCCUGCUCCUAGUACGAGAGGACCGGAGUGGACGCACCUCUGGUGUAUCGGUUGUCACGCCAGUGGCAUUGCCGAGUAGCUAUGUGCGGAAGAGAUAACCGCUGAAAGCAUCUAAGCGGGAAACUCGUUUCAAGAUGAGAUCUGCCGGGGCCUUGAGCCCCCUGAAGAGUCGUUCAAGACCAGGACGUUGAUAGGUCGGGUGUGGAAGCGCAGUAAUGCGUUAAGCUAACCGAUACUAAUUGCUCGUGCGGCUUGACCCU
rnacentral:rRNA from 1 species